ACAUUUCAUUUUUCAUUAUUCUUUGAAGGAUUUCAUUUACAAAACAUGUGCACUUUUUGCAAGUAGGAUCAACUAGGAAACUCCUCAGCUCAGGCAAGCACAUUGUGCUGCUGUCAGGAAGCGACCCAACAGAACACCGUUUGAUUUUGGAAUCGUUUUCCCAAACAGCUGUCCUCUGCUCUCCUAGAACACAUGCCGUCCUCACGUCUCUAAAGACUCACUUCCUCGCCUGGAGCCUGCUCACUCAGGGAAAGCAUACCGGUUUUUUUCUGUGUCAUGGAAGGAAGAUUGCUUCUUCCCCUUCCCUCUCACUUGCCAUGUGACCUAGGGGAAACGACUUUCCCUUUCUGGGUCCUGUUUCCUUGUCAGAAAAAAUAUAUUGUGCUGGAUGGUCUCUCAGGUACCCCUUAAUUCUUAAUCUGUGAGUCUAUGUAUCUUUAAAAAAAAAAAAAAAACCUAAAUAAAAAAUUGACAACACCACUUCA
rnacentral:lncRNA from 1 species